ACAGGUUGUACCGCGAGCGCUGAAACUCCAAGGGCAACCAGAUGAGAAUAGCUCUGGAUUUCGGUUCACCUGGGAACCUGCGGAACGGAGAGUGGACUCAAGGGAAAUGAACUGCCUUGGGUUGGAGGGAAGAGGCUUUGAGCUAAGGUGGAAUAGGAGAGACUGGAGACAACAGUCCUCUCUACACUUCCCCUUUGGAGGGAUAAGGGUUCUCUCGUCUCUGGGAAGAAUUACAAUUCAAGACCCAUAGCUCGGCCACGCCCCGUGACUUCCGUAAUUCUUCCCCAAAACAGAUAAAGAUAUAUCUAUUUCUGUCUCUGUAUCUAUCUCCAGACUCCUGGAGCAGCGUCUCUCUUCCCAUCUUCCUACAAAUCCACCAAAAGAAACCAUUAACAGGGACGGAAGGAGAGAGAAAAGGAUCCCAGGAGAGCUGUUCCUGCUUGGUGAAGCUCAGAGCUGGCAGCAGCAGCAGGAGCUCUUGGGGGGCAACUCCCUGAAGAAUAAGAGCACAGCAGAAACACUCGUGGAAAGGCACACAAGCCAGCCUCCUUUAAUGUGGUAUUUUCUUCCAUCCGCUUUCCAUACAUUUACUAGUUUUUAUAAGUUUCUUGCAAAAUUACCUUCAGAUGUCACAUGUGGCAGCCAUGGGGGUGUAUUGCUGGGAUCUUCCUUAAAGAAGGAAUUUGCUUUUCAGCUUCGAGGAGUGCAGUUAACUAGGGGCCAGGCCCGUGGUUGAGUGGUUACGUGCUCCGCUUUGGCA
rnacentral:lncRNA from 1 species